GACGAACGCUGGCGGCGUGCUUAACACAUGCAAGUCGAACGGUGAAGCGCCUUCCUUUUUGGUGGGUGUGGAUGAGUGGCGAACGGGUGAGUAACACGUGAGUAACCUGCCCCCUUCUUCUGGAUAACCGCAUGAAAGUGUGGCUAAUCCGGGAUAUUCUGGGUCUGUCGCAUGAUGGGUCUGGGAAAGAUCUUGUUUCGGUGGGGGAUGGGCUCGCGGCCUAUCAGCUUGUUGGUGGGGUGAUGGCCUACCAAGGCGGUGACGGUUAGCCGGCCUGAGAGGGUGGACGGUCACACUGGGACUGAGACACGGCCAAGACUCCUACGGGAGGCAGCAGGGGGGAAUAUGGGAGAAUGGGCGCAAGACUGAUGCAGCGACGCCGCGUGAGGGAUGGAGGCCUUCGGGUGGUGAACCUCUUUCGCUAGUGAAGCAGGCCUGCCUCGUUUGUGGGUGGGUUGACGGUAGCUGAAUAAGAAGCGCCGGCUAACUACGUG
rnacentral:rRNA from 1 species